rnacentral:lncRNA from 10 species
CUCCAAGGAGUCUUGGUUCUUUUAAUUGGAAAACAGUAUUAGAAAGCAAGAUCUAGGAUCUAGGUGUGCUCCUUGAUAAUCAGAAUUCGUGGAUUUAAAUGGCAUCAUGAAGUUAAAGAAUGUGCUGCUUCCUAGUGAGGAAUUAUUCAAAGACAACCUGAAUAUAUUCAUUAGAUGAGGAAACUGAAACACACAGAGGUUAAGAAGCUUCUUCAAGAUUGUUAAAAAGUCUUCAGGGUUUAUAUUUUAUACAACACUAUUCGACAAGAAAACCAACGCUCCCAACCACUAAUCUAUGGUGCAAAUUGGAGAGAAAAAAAAAAAGGUUAAUGGUAAGUUGAUGUAUAACUUAUACCCCAAAGGAGGUCCAAGUGAAUACAUCAUCUGAACGUCCUCCCCUAAGAGUCUUUGUAAACAUGCUAAUGGCAUAGAUAACAGAAAGUUUCUAUAUGUAAAAGGAUUUGGGUAAAACAUACCAAAUGUGUCCAAAUUCUUUAUUGUAAAUAAGUCUGGAAUAUGAAUAUAUGGGGCACAGCAGUUUGAAAAAAUAAGUUAGUCAUGUAAGCAAUUUUCUGUCUGUGCAGUGGACAGUAAAAACACCAAAAAGGCAGAAUAAUAUUUCUAUAUAUGUUACACAAAUUCUCAACUUGUCUGUUAUUCAAAAACCAAAAUACACUUGGUGCAGAAGAGAAAGGGUAUUUCCAAGGAGCCGUGGAUGACCGUUUUACACUCCUUAAGAAAAUAAAUGUUUUAUUUAUGGCAAUUUUCCUAUAUUGUUUGAGUCAUUAGCAGGUUGGGUAUGGGCAAGAUUUGUGAUUCCUGUGGUUUGAUUUGAUAUCUGAAGUAGCCUUGGAAGCACAUAUGAGACAACCUCAGUUGUGCCUGAAGCAGAUUUACAAAUAACUUCACAGAUUCAUGGCUAUUUAUUAGAUUGUGAAGCAUGAGUACAGUUUGCCAACUAAGGAAGCAGAUAUGGAGUGCAGGUGGUAGGGAAAACCAUGGUAAAGAAUCCUUGAUUAUUUGUGAUGAAAUAAUACAAUACAACUUCAAAUAAAAACAUGCUUAAUAGUCUUUUUCUUUCCAAAAAAAAAUAUGUUUCUAAGUGAUAAAGAUGGAUGGUUCUCUCAGGUUGAAAUAUUCAUCCAUGGAAAUAAUUUGUAAACAUGAUCAAGGUCUAAAUGUAAAACAAAAUAAAAUUAAGUGAUGACCUCAAUAGCACUUAUAAUUCAUCACCAUUACAAUUAUUAUGUGCUGUGGUUUGAAUGUGUCACCCAAAAUUUUAUGUGUUGGAAACUUUGCCAUUUUAAUAGUAUUAAGAUGUGGGGUCUUAGAGGUAAUUUGACCAUGAGGGCUAUGACCUAAUAAAUGGAUUAAUGUCAUUAUCACGGGAGUAAGUGAGUUCUCACAGGAGUAUGCUCCUGAUAAGCCUGGCCCUGUUCCUCUCUCUCUCUCUCUCUGUCUCUGUCUCUGUCUCUCUCUCUUCCUCUCUCAUUUCCUCUCUCUCUCUCUCUCUCUCUCGCGGGCAUGUGCCCAUGCUUCCUCACCAUGUGAUGUCUUCUGCCAUGGGAUUACACUGUCCAGCUGCUGGUGCUAUUUUUUUGGAGUGAGACAAAUUAACUUCUGUUCUUUGUAAACUACCCAGUGUGUGGUAUUUUCUUAUAGUAGCUGAACUUGGACUUGAACACCAGUUUAACUAAUAUUAAUUACAUAACACUUAAUCUUUAAAAUAUUUAUGUGCAUUUGUGAUACUUUUAGACUGUAUUUUACAAGUGAAAGAGAAAGUCAUUUAAUAGAAUCAAACAUCCAUUAAAGGCAAAAACUAUUCACACUAUCAACAGAAAAGAACGUUCUCAAACUCAAAGUCUAGCUACAAAACAAAACAAAACUUACAGCUAACAUCUUAAUAGUGGAACAUGAAAACAAUAUCCUUGAGCAUGGAAUGUUUUUCCAUUUGUUUGUGUCAUUUCUGAUUUCUUGGAGUAGUGUUUUGUAGUUCUCCUUGUGGAGGUCUUUCAUCUCCCUGGUUAGCUGUAUUCCUAGGUGUUAUUAUUUUGUAGCAAUUGUGAAUUGGAUUGGAUUCCUGAUUUGGCUCUCGGCUUGACUGUUGUUGGUGUAGAGGAGUGUAGUGAUUUUUGCAUAUUGAUUUUGGAUCCUGAGACUUUGCUGCAGUUGUUUAUCAGCUUAAAGAGUUUGUGGGCUGAGACUCUGGAAUUUUCUAGAUAUAGGAUCAUGUCAUCUACAAGCAGGGAUAGUUUGACUUCUCUUCCUAUUUGAAUGUCCUUUAUUUCUUUCUCUUGCCUGAUUGCCUGGCCAGGACUUCCAAUACUAUGUUGAAUAGGAGCAAUAAGAGAGGACAUCCUUGUCUUGUGCUGGUUUUCAAGGGGAAUGCUUCCAGCUUUUACCCACUCAGUAAGAUGUUGGCUGUGGGUUUGUCAUAGAUAGCUCCUAUUAUUUUGAGGUAUGUUUCUCCUAUACAUAGAUUGCCGAGAGUUUUUAACAUUCAGGUGUUUAAUUUUAUCAAAAGCAAUUUUUAUAUCUAUUGAGAUAAUCAUGUGGUUUUUGUCUUUAGUUCUAUUCAUGUGGUGAAUCACAUUUAUUGAUUUGUGUAUGUGGAACCAAACUUCCAUCCUAGGGAUAAAUCCUACUUCACUGUGGUGGAUGCUUUUUGGUGUGCUGCUGGAUUCAGUGUGCCAGAAUGUUGUUGAGAAUUUUUGCACCACUGUUCAUCAGGAUAUUGGCCUGAAGUUUUCUCUUUGUUUGUGUCUUUGCCAGGUUUGGGUAUCAGGAUGAUGUUGGCCUCAAAGAAUGAGUUAGGGAGGAAUUCCUCCUCAAUUUUUGGGAUAGUUCAGCAGGAAUGGUACCAGCUCUUUCUUGUACAUCUAGUAGAAUUCAGCUGUGAAUCUGUGUGGUCCUGGGCUUUUUCAGAGCCCAUUAUUGGUCUGUCUAAGAAUUCAAUUUCUUCCUGGUUCAGUCUUGGAAGGGUGUCCAGAAUUCUUUUCAUUUCUCCUAGCUUUUCUAGUUUAUGUGCAUAGAGGUGUUUGUAAUAUUCUCUGAUGAUUAUUUGUAUUUCUGAGGGUCAAUAGUAAUAUCCGACUUGUCAUUUCUGAUUGUGUUUAUUUGGUAUUUGGAUCUUCUCUAUUUUCUUCUUUAUUGGUCUAGAUAGUGGCAUAUCUUUU